rnacentral:rRNA from 1 species
AUUGAACGCUGGCGGCAGGCCUAACACAUGCAAGUCGAGCGGAGCUGCGGACGGGUGAGUAAUGCCUAGGAAUCUGCCUGGUAGUUGGGGAUAACGUCCGGAAACGGGCGCUAAUACCGCAUCCUACUUGAUGAGCCUUGGUCGGAUUAGCUAGUUGGAUGGGUAAAGGCCUACCAAGGCGACGAUCCAUAACUGGUCUGAGAGGAUGAUCAGUCACACUGGAACUGAGACACGGUCCAGACUCCUACGGGAGGCAGCAGUGGGGAAUAUUGGACAAUGGGCGAAAGCCUGAUCCAGCCAUGCCGCGUGUGUGAAGAAGGUCUUCGGAUUGUAAAGCUCUUUAAGUUGGGAGGCGUUACCAACAGAAUAAGCAACGGCUAACUUCGUGCCAGCAGCCGCGGUAAUAC